UACGUAGGGUGCGAGCGUUAAUCGGAAUUACUGGGCGUAAAGGGUGCGCAGGCGGUUAUAUAAGACAGGUGUGAAAUCCCCGGGCUUAACCUGGGAACUGCAUUUGUGACUGCAUAGCUAGAGUACGGUAGAGGGGGAUGGAAUUCCGCGUGUAGCAGUGAAAUGCGUAGAUAUGCGGAGGAACACCGAUGGCGAAGGCAAUCCCCUGGACCUGUACUGACGCUCAUGCACGAAAGCGUGGGGAGCAAACAGG
rnacentral:rRNA from 1 species